rnacentral:tRNA from 1 species
GGAUUGUGGCUCAGUGGUGGAGCACUUGCCUAGCACGUGUGAGGCACAGGGUUCAAUCCUCAGCACCA